rnacentral:lncRNA from 1 species
CCAGCCGUUCUCCUCUUUCCACGCGGAUCUGGUAUAGCAUAUAGCACGUCCACGCGGAUCUGGUAUAGCACAUCCCCAGGCGGCCAGGCGUUCUGCAUCCGCUCGAGCACAUCCCCAGGCGGCCAGGCGUUCUGCAUCCAGGCGGCCAGGCGUUCUGCAUCCAGGCGGCUAGGCGUUCUGUACCAGUUACUACUUUUUCAGGUAUAGCAUAUAUUGUUUUCAGUUACUUUUUCAGGUAUAUACUACGGCAAAUUCUGUUUUGAGUGAUAGCAGUAAGUCAUCUAGACUUGUUCUCACAGCAUAAAUUUUCAGUUGGAAAAUCAGUAUAUAUAAAAUUUAAUUCUCCAACUGGGAAAAUGUCAGCAUAUAUUACAUCUUUAAUUCUCCCACUGGGGGUCCAGGUAGUUUAGAUGUGGAGUCAAGUGAGCUCUACCGUUAUAGUCGAUCUUUUGUAAUCCAAGUACGAAAAGAACAAGAUGAAGGACCGGAUAGAAAUUCCAUAGGCAAAACUUCCAUUAGACAUUAUCACGAUGCAAUUCGACAUCAUCAACCUAGGCAGAAGGAUUUAGAUAAAAUGCAAUAACUAAAGCAUGAAAACAAAUGAGAAUGUGGACCAAACAUCCAAAAAAUAUCUAGACUAUUUACCACUAAAAUUAAUCAUAAGAGGUAUUCAGAUUCCAUAAAUGCAGCAACUAAAUUGUCCAUGGGGUGCAACCAUUUGGAAUUAUCAUCCAAAGUUAAGUCAGAGAUCAAAUUCAUAAAAUGAUAAAGGUAUGGGUAUGGUUUCUAAUAUCAAAUAUAAAAUGCUUCUCUGGAAAGUUUGUACAAGGAUAUACAUGUUGACCAAUAUUUAAAAAACAUGGAGGCUAUUUUUACUGCAGUGAAUCCUUGUAUUCAAAAACAAGGUGACUUCAAACACAGUAAUCUAUAACCAUUGUCCACCCACAAAUUAAGAUAUAUCAUUGACAUGGUGAGACCGUAAGAGACACAUUGGUGCUACAUGUACAGCUUUCAACAUAAAAAAUAGGCCAAGAUAUCGCAUCAGAUAUCCAAGGCUCCAAGCUUUUGGACAGCUCGCAUUUAGUAACUAAAUAGAUCAACUUAUACCAUUCAAUGGCAUAUUUCAAUAAUCCGACAUCAAGGUGACAAAAAUGACAUUAAUGUGAUAUUACAAUAUAUCAAAAUAUAUAAGCAGUCAACUGUAGUAAAAAUACUGUCUUACCUAAAAUAAUUCCCUGAGCACCUCUGUAGUAAGAACUAGUUAUUGUCCUAAACCUCUCCUGGCCAGCUGCAAAGCAUUGUAAGUAUUUAUUAUUUAUUUAUUUUUAAGGAAAGUGGCAGGAGCUCUGCCUUACAUUGAAGCAAGGGGAAAAAAGAGACGAAGGUUUUGCCUUGAUGGCAGGCACGCCUCAACAGGCUACAGUGCAACCACGAGCUCUUGAGAGAUCCAACCCACAAAUAAACAUAAACAAAAAGCACACGAUGGACUCCAAGUUUUUGGAAUAUUGAAAAUAUCAGAAAACAAGGUAACAUAAUUUAUGUCGUUAAUAGAUAACUUAGAAACCUUCAAGUUCUAGCAGUAGUAGACAGAGGUAACAUGGUGAAGCACCUAGAUACCUUUGGGCAAAAUGAGUUGGUGGGGCUAAACAAGAAAACUUUUAAUAAUAUUGGAACGUAGGGUCACAAUGAUUUAGAGAUGUGAGGGCUAACAUGGCGAAAGUAGCCAAAUAUUUUAGGCACAAAGCAGCAAUGUCGAGCUAAAAUCUGUGAAUAAGAAACCCCAAUAGCCAUGAUGUAAGGACAGGCGUGGAAGAAGAAACCAAAUAUAUUAGCUGAAAAGCAAACCUUGAUUCUCAAACCACUAACAGUAAUGAUAGCAGAAAAGGGUGGAAUUCUAAAAUGAGUAAAAACAGAAGCAUUUAGCAGCAAACAUUGGAAUGUCCAGCAAGUUCUGAUGAAGAUACCAAACUGCAUGCAAAACAGCCUUGCUAGCAUUGUGUAUUCCCAUAAAAAAACAGAGAUAUAAUAACAAAUAGUAAGUUUUUUUUUGCAUAAUCUAAGUUCUUACCAGUAUCCCAUAUUGUCAACUUUAGUUUCUUUCCACCAACUGUAAGGAACUUGAUUUUAAAAUCCACACCUGGCAACAAGUAACACAAUUCAUACUUUUAAUUAGAUAAGAGUGUCACACACCAGAAGCAUGCAAUACAGAAAGAUGCUAUUACCAAACUGGAAUCAAAGAGAUGUCUUUGUUAAGAUUGCAAAAUAAGUUGUUAGUACAUGAAAAGAAGUUUAUUUGCGGGGAAGAAUAAAACACAUGCAAAUAAUACGUUCAACUCACAUGUAAGUAAUAUGUUAACUCUUUUGUUAGAAUUUUGUUGGCAGAUGCCUACAUCUCUUAUAUGUUCGCAAAUUCUUAUUGUUUUGGAUAAAUCAGGUCAUGUUGAGCUUAAAUGCUUGUUAUUUGAAAUCCAUUGGUUCACUUUCAUCAAAGUCAUAUACUUAGGGGGUGUUUGAUUUCUAGGGACUAAUUUUUAGUCCUUACAUUUUACUUCAUUUUAGUUCCAAAAUUGCCAAAUAUAGAAACUAAAACUUUAUUUUAUUUUCUAUAUUUGGCAAUUUAUAGACUAAAAUGGAAUAAAAUGAGGGACUAAACAUUAGUCCCUAGAAACCAAACACCCCCUUAUAUGAACUUGUGGAUUGCUUCGUCUUACUUAAAAAAUAAACUUAUGAUGUGUUGCAGGAGUUGCUAUUUUUGGGGGGCCUGUUGCACAUGAAGUAUUGUGCAUUCCAGAAGCAAAUUCAUUCCAUCAUAAGGCUGCAACACCAUCUAGUGGAGGUAGAUAAGGCAUCAAAACUGUAUUUUUAUUUGCAAAUGCAGCAACAAUAUACUAAUUUGAUGUACUUUUUUCUAGGGUGUUCUGGACAAAGAAAGCUUGUACCUUAAAACAGGAGGAUACAAGAAGCUGGAGUGGUUGUCUGAAGGCUUUUGAACUGCUUGAAGCAUUAGUGUAGCUUUGGUACUUUUGUGACUGAUCAGCUCUGGAGCAGCUAGAGUGAUAUAGUUGUGGGCUUUUGAACAAUAGUUGGAGUGAUAUGAAACAUUAGUGAUCUAGUUGUGAAUGAUAUUAUAAUUGUGAUACUUUUGUGAAUAUAUAAUUGUGGUGCUUUUGUGUUUAUGUGAUGGAUCUAUGACUGUGGUAUACUGAUUAACUGUGUAUGUCUUUAUGAUUUGUGUAUAAAA